rnacentral:rRNA from 1 species
GUGAGGAAUUUUCCGCAAUGGGCGAAAGCCUGACGGAGCAAUGCCGCGUGAAGGAUGAAGGCCUAUGGGUUGUAAACUUCUUUUCUCAGAAAAGAAUUAUGACGGUAUCUGAGGAAUAAGCAUCGGCUAACUCUGUGCCAGCAGCCGCGGUAAGACAGAGGAUGCAAGCGUUAUCCGGAAUGAUUAGGCGUAAAGCGUCUGUAGGUUGUUUAAAAAGUAUUCUGUCAAAGAUUAGGGCUUAACCCUAGAUAGGCAGAAUAAACUUUUAAGCUAGAGUUUGGUAGAGGCAGAGGGAAUUCCCGGUGGAGCGGUGAAAUGCGUAGAUAUCGGGAGGAACACCAAAGGCGAAGGCACUCUGCUGGGCCAAUACUAACACUGAGAGACGAAAGCGAGGGGAGCAAAUGGGAUUAGAAACCCUUGUAGUCC